rnacentral:rRNA from 36 species
UCUGGUGAUGAUGGCGAAGAGGUCACACCCGUUCCCAUACCGAACACGGAAGUUAAGCUCUUCAGCGCCGAUGGUAGUUGGGGGUUUCCCCCUGUGAGAGUAGGACAUCGCCAGGC